rnacentral:snRNA from 1 species
GCUCACUUCAGCAGCACAUAUACUAAAACUAGAAUGAUACAGAGAAGAUUAGCAUGACCCCUACACAAGGAUGACACACAAAUUCGUGAAGCGUUCUUUAUUUUU